GAUGAAGAACGCAGCGAAAUGCGAUAAGUAAUGUGAAUUCCAGAAUUCAGUGAAUCAUCGAAUCUUUGAACGCACCUUGCGCCCUUUGGCUAUUCCGAAGGGCAUGCCUGUUUGAGUAUCAUGAUCACCUCAACCCUCAUGGUUUGCCAUGAUGGGCUUGGACUUUGGGGGUCUUGCUGGAUUGUAGUCAGCUCCCCUUAAAUGAAUCAGCUUGCCAGUGUUUGGUGGCAUCACAGGUGUGAUAAAUAUCUACGCUUGUGGUUUUACAUCAGAUAACCUUCAGUGAUGGAGGUUCACUGGAGCUCAUAAAGGUGUCUCUCCUCUGUGAGGACGGCUCUUUGAAUGUUUGAUCUCAAAUCAGGCAGGACUACCCGCUGAACUUAAGCAUAUCAAUAAGCGGAGGA
rnacentral:misc_RNA from 1 species